UCCGCACACAAACCCAAAGAGCUCCGUUGGUCCGUGCGGUGUUCUUGUCAUGUGUGCGUAAAGGAAGAAGCACCUUGUCGCCUUCCGUGGGCUGCUGUGCCGGCGGAAGUGAAAUCAGGGUUCAACACGC